rnacentral:rRNA from 1 species
AUUGAACGCUGGCGGCAGGCCUAACACAUGCAAGUCGAACGAGUGGCGGACGGGUGAGUAAUGUAUGGGACACUGCCUGAUGGAGGGACAUAUCUACUGAGAACGGUAGAUAAUACCACAUACCCUCAGAUGUACCCACAUGGGAUUAGCUAGUUGGUGGGGUAACGGCUGACCAAGGCGACGAUCCCUAGCUGGCCUGAGAGGAUGACCAGCAACACUGGAACUGAGACACGGUCCAGACUCCUACGGGAGGCAGCAGUGGGGAAGAUUGCGCAAUGGGCGCAAGCCUGAUGCAGCCACGCCGCGUGUAUGAAGAAGGCCUUCGGGUUGUAAAGGACUUUCAGUGGGGAGGCGUUACCCGCAGAAGAAGCACCGGCUAACUCCGUGCCAGCAGCCGCGGUAAUAC